AGCUUUGCACAGUGGCAGUAUUGUAGCUGAUGAGGUUUAUCCAAGGCAUGAUUAUUGCUAAUUGAAAAAUUGAGGAAUAGUU
rnacentral:snRNA from 1 species